rnacentral:rRNA from 1 species
GAUGAACGCUGGCGGCGUGCUUAACACAUGCAAGUCGAACGGUGAAGCCAAGCUUGCUUGGUGGAUCAGUGGCGAACGGGUGAGUAACACGUGAGCAACCUGCCCCGGACUCUGGGAUAAGCGCUGGAAACGGCGUCUAAUACCGGAUAUGAACCACAGCUGCAUGGUUGGUGGUUGGAAAGAUUUUUUGGUUCGGGAUGGGCUCGCGGCCUAUCAGCUUGUUGGUGAGGUAAUGGCUCACCAAGGCGUCGACGGGUAGCCGGCCUGAGAGGGUGACCGGCCACACUGGGACUGAGACACGGCCCAGACUCCUACGGGAGGCAGCAGUGGGGAAUAUUGCACAAUGGGCGGAAGCCUGAUGCAGCAACGCCGCGUGAGGGAUGACGGCCUUCGGGUUGUAAACCUCUUUUUGCAAGGAAGAAGCGAAAGUGACGGUACUUGCAGAAAAAGCGCCGGCUAACUACGUGCCAGCAGCCGCGGUAAUACGUAGGGCGCAAGCGUUAUCCGGAAUUAUUGGGCGUAAAGAGCUCGUAGGCGGUUUGUCGCGUCUGCUGUGAAAACUGGAGGCUCAACCUCCAGCCUGCAGUGGGUACGGGCAGACUAGAGUGCGGUAGGGGAGAUUGGAAUUCCUGGUGUAGCGGUGGAAUGCGCAGAUAUCAGGAGGAACACCGAUGGCGAAGGCAGAUCUCUGGGCCGUAACUGACGCUGAGGAGCGAAAGGGUGGGGAGCAAACAGGCUUAGAUACCCUGGUAGUCCACCCCGUAAACGUUGGGAACUAGUUGUGGGGGCCAUUCCACGGUCUCCGUGACGCAGCUAACGCAUUAAGUUCCCCGCCUGGGGAGUACGGCCGCAAGGCUAAAACUCAAAGGAAUUGACGGGGACCCGCACAAGCGGCGGAGCAUGCGGAUUAAUUCGAUGCAACGCGAAGAACCUUACCAAGGCUUGACAUAUACGAGAACGGGCCAGAAAUGGUCAACUCUUUGGACACUCGUAAACAGGUGGUGCAUGGUUGUCGUCAGCUCGUGUCGUGAGAUGUUGGGUUAAGUCCCGCAACGAGCGCAACCCUCGUUCUAUGUUGCCAGCACGUAAUGGUGGGAACU